GAACUAUUCUGUUUGAUUCAACGGAUUACAUUUAUGUUGGGAGAAGGCUCCUUGUGUUGCAGACAUACUGAAGUUACCAACAGCCCUGCUCUAAAACCUCUGACCUGACGGUUUGUUCAGUGUAUGGAGCAGAAAAUCAUUGUUGGCAGCUGAUGUAUGUGACCCGACAUUGGAGGAUGAUUCUAUUGUAAAUACCUUUAAGGUGCUUCAAGUCUCUCACUUUUGCCACAGCAGACUAACACAGCCACUCUUCUGCUUUUUCAAGCUCCACUUGAACACAGAUGAAUAAACAUACAUGAAGCUGCCUUCUAUUGAACCAAAUCUUUGGCUCAUUAAGGUAACGAUCACCUACUCAGACUGACAGUAGCUCUGCAGGGUCUCAGGCAGAGGACAUCCACAUCACCCGCUGACUGGUCUUCUCAAGUGAAAAUGCCAGGGGUUGGACCUGGGUCCUUCUGCAUGUCAAGUUAAUGGUCUAUCACUGAGCCGAGGCCUACACACUACUUUCUUCUGCAACAUAAAACCAUCAGU